AUGUGGAGGCAAAGAUCCAGAAUUCAAUGGAUUCGGGAAGGUGAUGCAAGUACAAGAUUUUUCCAUGCCAAAGCUUCAGCUCGUCAUAGGAAGAAUUAUAUUCACCGUCUUGUGGUCGAGGGGACACCAAUCACCAGCCAGGAUGGCAAGGACAAGGCCCUAUUUCAAUUUUACUCACAGCUCUUGGGCCGCAAGCGCAACAGGGCAAACUCGCUAAAUGUGGACGCCAUCGGUAUUGUGGCAUCUGAUCUCACUGAAUUGGAGCAACCAAUCCUUGAAGAUGAAGUGAAGGCGGUGUUGUUCGAGCUCGAUCCGAACAAGGCGCCGGGUCCUGACGGGUAUACGCCAUGUUUUUUUCAGAGCUGCUGGGACACUGUCAAGGAAGAUGUCAUGAGGGCCAUCGGCGAGGUAGAAAAGCUUAAUGCAACCGACCUGCACCUGCUCAACUCGGCUACCAUAGUAUAUUGUUGCCAAAGAAUCCUGACGUGGCUUCGCCUCAUGACUACCGGCCAAUAG
rnacentral:rRNA from 1 species